UAAGACGGGCUUGGAGUGAGCGGUGCGCUGAGGGGCUGCGAAUCCUCGCCCUCCACCCGCUUCCAGCGUCGAGCGUGCGUGGGGUCCUGGACACAUUUGGAAGUUCAGGAGUUUAGGGAUCUGCCCUCGCCCCAGUUUUGACUGGUAAGAUGACAAGUUAAUGCAGCAAUUACCACUCAAACUAGGCUGACGCCUGGAGCUGCCUUCAUGAAGCUGAACUGGACACUUGACGCCGCGUUUUGUCCAACCCAGCCCUGUUUGGUAGACUUCAUGAUUCCAUUUUUACAGAUGGGGAAAUCGAGGCCCGGAGAGGCUGGGUCAUUUGCACUGAGGGCUGAGCCAGGCAGAGGGGCACAGCAGAUCCCAAACUCAGCCUUUCUCCGAAGCGUGAGACUUUCCGUUCUUCUAGGACGCCCUACUUUGCUUUUUAAAGAAACAAUUUUGUGACCCACAUCUCGUUGGCGACAUUUUCAGCAGGAAGACCAGGAGUCCUCACUGAAUCCGAAUCUUUGCCAUUCAGCUUGAUUAGCUGCCCAGCAAGCCCCCAGAAUCCUUCUGUCUCUUCCUCCCCAGCUCUGGGAUUACAAGUGCGUCCCACUGCGCCAGCCUCUUACAUGGAUACUGGGGAUCCAAACUCAGGUUCUCCAUGGUCUUCUCCAUGUGAACCAUCUCUUCAGCUCCAGCCUCAAACUCUUGCUCUUCCUGCCUCAGCCUCCCCAGGGCUGGAAGUACUGCUCUGAGUGGUACGAGUAGAUUCUGAACUAUGCACAGGUCAUUCAGGACCAGGAAGGACAAGGAGACACUACAAUCUAACUCUGAAGAGACCAAUGACUUGGUCCUCAUCCCUGUAUUUGAAGCACUUCACCAGCUAAGCUGUCUCCCAAGUCUCCAGAGGAGAGGAGCCUGCCUCUUCUGUGCCAAGUCUGAAGAGAAUGUGAGGUCUGGAGCUGUUGCAACCAUUCCAGAAACCCGAGGCCACACUGGUACAGGGACACAGAAGCAAGUGGAGGAGCAUGAGCUUCAGAGCCCUCACUGUGGCAAUGGCCUGCACUUCAAGCUGCAGGGACAGACCUCUCCUGCAUCCUGACUGUCAGCAGGCCAGCAAGUCCCUUCUCUGCCUUUGUGGUUUGGCUUGGCAUUCUGUCAUUUAUUAAAACCAAAGUGUAUCAG